AGUUGGCUGGGUCCGGGCUUGGGGACUGCAACGCGGGUAAGGGACUCAGCCUGGGCUUGCCAGCUGUGGGGAUGAGGCGAAGCAUCCAUCCUCUUGGCAGUUAAGUGGCUGGUCCUGAUCUGAGGGAUCUGCAAAUUUGGCUCAUGGAAAGAGGUGGCUGAAUUCUGCGUCUCCCAUUAAACGGAUACUGGCGUUGUUGAUACGGGUUUCGCAUGGACCCUGUCCUGUGCCAGGGUUUUUAAUCUAGCUAUUAAAGGAACUGGAGAAUAACAAGUAAGGGUUGCAAGGUCGCUGACAGGCGUGGGAAACUUGUGAAGGAUUAGAAUGCUAAGUGGCUUUCAGCUUUUUUCACACUAAGUCUUCUGUGCUUCACCAUCUACAUAAUGAAUCCCAGUAUGAAGCAGAAACAAGAAGAAAUCAAAGAGAAUAUAAAGAAUAGUUCUGUCCCAAGAAGAACUCUGAAGAUGAUUCAGCCUUCUGCAUCUGGAUCUCUUGUUGGAAGAGAAAAUGAGCUGUCCGCAGGCUUGUCCAAAAGGAAACAUCGGAAUGACCACUUAACAUCUACAACUUCCAGCCCUGG
rnacentral:lncRNA from 1 species